rnacentral:rRNA from 1 species
GCCUGAUCCAGCAAUGCCGCGUGUGUGAAGAAGGCCUUCGGGUUGUAAAGCACUUUUAUCAGGAGCGAAAACCUGUCGGCUAAUACCCGGCGGGCCUGACGGUACCUGAGGAAUAAGCACCGGCUAACUUCGUGCCAGCAGCCGCGGUAAUACGAAGGGUGCAAGCGUUAAUCGGAAUUACUGGGCGUAAAGGGUGCGUAGGCGGUUACUUAAGUCUGUCGUGAAAUCCCCGGGCUCAACCUGGGAAUGGCGAUGGAUACUGGGUAGCUAGAGUGUGUCAGAGGAUGGUGGAAUUCCCGGUGUAGCGGUGAAAUGCGUAGAGAUCGGGAGGAACAUCAGUGGCGAAGGCGGCCAUCUGGGACAACACUGACGCUGAAGCACGAAAGCGUGGGGAGCAAACAGGAUUAGAUACCCUGGUAGUCCACGCCCUAAACGAUGCGAACUGGAUGUUGGUCUCAACUCGGAGAUCAGUGUCGAAGCAAACGCGUUAAGUUCGCCGCCUGGGGAGUACGGUCGCAAGACUGAAACUCAAAG